rnacentral:lncRNA from 1 species
GCCGUAAGUACAGAUGAAGCUUCACUAGCUCACCAGCCGCUCAUCUCCUGCUGUGUGGCUUGAGAGCAAUACCGGCCAACACAUGAUGGGACAUUUUUCUUGACCCUCUCCCAUGUGGAUUACUUCCUUUUAUAUGGAGGAUUGUGAGCCCUUUGAAGACCUGAUGGAAGCUAUCGGACAGUAGAAGACACAGAGUGUACAUGCAGAAUAACUGUUUAUUGUGCUGGAGUGCAAUAUCUUGAGAUAAGAAGGAACUGGCCAGAACAGUCCAGGGUCUCUCCCUGUCCCUACUAGAACAAGAUGUCCUGCAACACUUGAGCUCAGUGAGUCAACUUCCCCUAGGUAUAAAACCUAGAGUGGAGCAUCUUUUGGCGUCCCUCGGCUGUGGUGCUGCCUAGGGCAUGUGCAGAUGGACUCCACCCACCCUGGCCAGCUUGCCUGAGCCUUGUCAGGGGGCAGGGACCCUAGGCUCCUGCUGUCUCCUGAUGCUGAUCCGCGAAUAAUAAAGUUGCUUUUCUUAA